UAAGGGAGACCAAACCCAUCGAUAACUGAAAAUCAAAAUAGGUUUAGAUGAGGUCAACCUAGGUCGUUCGAGAUUGGUGCUUUAGCUUUCAAACUAUAUUUGGUUCGGUAACCAAGAGCCGCGCCAAUUUUCCACACCAUCGAUAUGGUUGUUGGGAAAAGCGAACACAAUCGGUUCAAAAAAGUUCGGUUGUGCCUAGUCAGCAAGUGUAAUUAGUUGUUAGAGUAGGAAAGUGCGGUAAGAAGCGUUGCCUUAAAGCAAUAAACCUAAAACUUUAAAAUUAAACAGAUCAACUUUUUCAGCAUCAGGUAUUAGCGCCUGAAUGCUGGAUUAGUGUCCAGUCAGAACCUUGAAAACUGCAUAGAGAAAGCAAAUAGCAGGCAGAUCCAAAGAGGGUAAAACCUCAAUGUAUCUGACAAAAGAAACU
rnacentral:misc_RNA from 1 species